AUCUCUAUGUAAAAUGUCAGGCGUUUAAGAAGUGUCAGAUGACGGAUAUUCCCUUAUAUGGUUAAUAUAAACACCAACACAAUGUAACUGGAAAGGUCACAGGUUAAACUUAUAAGCUACACUACAGUUGAUAACUACCGUUGUACAUUUGGAAUACUACCUUUGUUUCAGUUAUGCAAUAUACGAAAGGCUGAUUUGUCAAAACAACGUCGAGGAAAUCUCAGAGCAACCGCCUUUUAUUUCAAAAUAAUGUAAAACACUUGACAUAACUUGGAAUGAAGCUGGACUCAGAAUCAAAAGAUAAAGAAGAAUACUGCAUCAAGAAUGACAAGAUGGACAAAGAUUGCCUGUACCCAAAACUGAAAAUUCAAAAUACAGAAAUGUCGCGAUGUAAUGUUGCAGGUCAGAGAAAGAACGGCAUUGGUGGCACAUAGGGCGAAAAAAUCAACAUGUAUUUUUAUCUUUGUAAAGCCACAGAUUAAUUCAAUCUUUCAUCUAAAUUGGCUUUUUUAAAAUUUAAAUCCCACCAUUAGAAAUGACAGGGAAAACUAAUAAAGGUCAUGUUCUUUA